CUCAUGCACACCCUCUUCACAUCCAUCUGAAUACAGACCAUCACUUGGUGCCCAAUGAGGUACCAGCAGGCUGAUUCUCACCUGACACCUGCAUGCAGUUCCAGCCAUAGUCUGCUCAUCUUCCCUUGAAGGAACCUGCAGAAAACAUGGAGAAGACAAAGUCAGUGUUGAGUCAAUGAGCAUUUCAAUUCCCACAAAAACCACUGACUCACACUGGAAAUGUACCUGGCUGCUGGGAUAACUGCAUGAAAACAAUCCUGUCCCCACAGUCAAACCUCUCCUAAGUGGACCCCUGCAGACUCUCCUGUGCUACAGCUCCCCGGGCUGGGACACAGCAAGCACCCAAACCUAGACACCAUGUCUUCUUCAGUGCUCACUCUUUUACCAUCCAUUUCACCUAAGCUGUGCCAAGUGUCCCCUCCCAGAGAGUGGCAUUGCUGUGGAUUCCAUCCUUCCUUACUUGAGCAACUUCAAAUCAAGCAGUGGGCUACAAAUGCCAAGCCACACCUUUGUCACUUACACAUGUGGAAGUGGCAGGACCUCAUUGGUGGCCUGGGCACAAGCCCACACUUACCUGGAUGUCUGUAUGCAUCCACCUGAUUAUACUGUGCUGCUCACUGUGACAUGACUGUCCCUGUGAAAAUGACAUCAGAGAAUACUGAUUUAGUCCAUGCGAGUCCCCCAUGUGAGUAUUGUGGAGGUCACUGUGUUAGACUGUGGCCCCUUUGCUUUAACACCUCAGUCUCAGGGGUGUUUCCUAGAAAAAAUAUGGUAAGAGAAUUCUUUCUCACUUGAAGGGAAACCUGCAGAAGUUCUAAGGCUCAAUAUUCAUAGUGGAUGUUAGCAAGAAUCCUGGCCUCCCCAUCCACCUAGCCAACAUGAAAACUACAUUACGGGGAAAAGGAACAAGACCAUGCUAAAAGGAUACAGCAUGUUCUGCAAGCAUACAACAUGCUCGAUUCAUUGACAACCACCACUGGUGUGGGAGGCUUCCACUCCACCGCAUACCAGAUUGAAACUGAGGGAAGAAUAUCAUCCCAAGGCUCUGAUCCUCAUCAAGUGGGUGCCUGCAAGUUACCUGUGCUUCUUUCUCAGCAGUCUGGUACUCAAGCAUGUCACUGCAUAUAGUAAGCAAGCAAUCCCAGGACACAGGGACCUUGAACAGUACUUUCCCUACCCUAUACAAAAAGAAAACUCACACAGACUAGAUUUCUGAUUUGUUAGUCUUUUAUACUUGAAUUUAUUCACACAAAAUAUGGUAUCGGCUACACUCAGGGCCCCAACAUGCUCCACUGAAGCCUAGGAAGAUCCAUUUCCUGUGCUGUGAUGGAGGCCAUACUUGCUGCUAUCUGGAUCCUGGUGAGGUUCCAGGGUCUGGCCUUUCCUGGCUGUGAGGUCUGGACCCAUCACUAGAAAACACACCCGAAAGAACCCAUCCUGUACUUUAUCCUAUGCCCUUCUUUUUCUCCAUCUGCACAAUCUGCACAUCAUGGGAUUACUCAGGGUGUCCAUCACCACUACAAGGACCCUCAUUUAUGCACACUGAAAGCCAGAGAAGAGAAAAUGGACACUCCUGAGCAGACACCGGACAAACUGUUACAAUCUGUAUCUCAGGGAACUACUCUAGGAUAAUUAUCUGAAUCCUUGCUUUUUCUCUACAAUGCCUAGUUUGUUGUUGUUGUUGUUGUUUUUUUUUUGAAGCAAAAAAUUUAUUAGUACAUUUCAGGUAAACAUAAUGAUAGCAUUCAUCACAGGGAAUUUGUACCUGUUCAUGAUGUAUCUUUCUUCUUCUUUUUUUCCCAUUCUCCUCCCCUCCCUCUACCUCUCUCCUUCUCCUUUAUUUACAAAAGCUUUGUUUCCAUUUUUUCUUCUAUUUUCUUUUCUUUCUUUCUUCUUUCCUCUCCCCCUCCACCCUCUUUUGUUCCCCUUUACAAUGGCCAGUUUAAAGGCACACUUUCGGCCUGGAUUCAGUAGCACCUGAUUCUACACCCUGAUAGGAAUGAGCCCCUUAACCUCACACUUGCCAAAUAAAGGAGACUACCUCAGAGUUUCACUAUCAACAAUGAAAAUCACAUCUGAAAAUAAGGUCUCUGAUGUGUGAAUGUGGGGUCAGCUCAGAACUCGACAGUCACAGUGACCUUCCCAGCAUAAGAAUCCAGUACAUGACAACAUCUCAUUGGGCUAUUACCCUUAUGCUAGCCACCUGGAUAUUGAAGAUUGGAUGGGUGCCAAUGGGCUGUAAUUUAUACUUUUGUUUUUCCUUGGUUUGUUCAAGGUUUUUUCAACACACUCAUUCAAUUGAUCACUUCCAUUAACUUGAAAGCACCUACAGAAAACUGUCAUUUAGCUCUCAUCUUGCUCUUCCAUGUCACUGACUCUUUCUGCCCCUCACCCAGAAACAGAAAGGCAUCCUUCAGCUAUGUGUUAAUAGAGUCCUUAAUUCUAUGUAAAUUGUAUUCUCUGGCAUGUCCAAAUGUGUAAUAGAGCCAUCUGUAAAUUUUUCAAUGUUUACUGUUGUGUUGUAACACCACCAUGUCUACAUCCAACCAUGAUGCGAUGGAUCCCUGAAAUUGUACAGGUUCAAUAUUCAUUUCUGUCUCAUACAAAAUGCAGUAUUGCAUUCACUAGAUAUUUUCAUCAUGUCUCUCAUUUCAUCCAUUAGUACUUGUAACAAAACCUCAGUAACAAGUGUCAAGGACAUCCUCAUCACUCAUCCCUGUAUAUGAAGAUCUGAUUUCCUGUGAUGUGGUGAAUGCCCACAUUAGCACUUAUAGAGAGAUCAGUAGUGUUCUACUUUACAAACUUAUUUUGCUUGCUGUGAUGUAUUCACCCAUCUAUGGACUCUUGUCAUAGACUUCUGAUUUGGUAUAUGUCUCAUUUGCACUUAUACAACUCCAAAUUCCCUAUGUCACUUCAUCAUUUCAGCAUCCACUUACGUUAUCUAGAUACUUGCAGGCUUCCAUGGAUAAAGCCUUGUAAGAGAGUGUUGUCUGUCUUCAGUGAUACAUGCAAACCUUCCAAGGACAAUAUUUCAGAGAUGGACUCAGUGAAAAUUACAUAAAUCUCUUCUCCACCAGUAGCAAUACAAGCAUAUUACAUCUAUUACAUUCCAGAAAAGAUGCAAUGACAUUUGAUGUAUCCUUGUAAUAUUAAGGUGAUAAUAUGUUUUGAAAACAUGUAUCACCAGAAGUGGGGGAAUAUAAUAAAACCUAACACAGUCAUAAAAUGAAUUGCUGAAAAUGAGAUGUCACUAGUGAGUGACUAUAUCAUCCCAGACCAAUACACUAGCCAAGACCUUAACAUCUGAGCACCUAGUUAGGAACUUGCCAGGAUUAUAGAAGAUCAAACAGCCUUCACUGGACUAUGACCAUUUUAUCAUUUACCUUGUUACUAGGGUGACUGCAACAACCAUCUUUUCUGGAUCACUGUGUUCUCUUGAAGGGCAUCUGAAAAAAAUACAAAGCCAGUUUGGCAUAGAAGGUGCUGUGUCAGAACAUGAGCCCACUCCCUUUUUAAUGUCCAUUGCUAAAGGACAGCUAAACUCCUCAGGAUACUUGGAUUCACCAAACAAAAACAGUAUUGUCAGAGAGCCCAUAUUUUGUCAUCUCCACACCCUGGAAAUUAACCUAUGCUUACUGCAGUCCUAGAGUUCCACAAUAAUUUCAAUUAACCAGUUCAUAAUCACUCCCUCAGCAGUCCUUGCUAAAACACCAAUUUUCCCUAUGGCAUAUAAAGGAUAAACUCAUAUUUACUAGAACUGUGAAGGACAAAAUUAUUUCUUAUAGGAGCAGUGACCACUAAAUCUAGUAAUAGUCAGGACACCCUCAUCCCUUUCCUCUAUAGAUGAAGAUCUGGUUUAGGGUACCUCAGCACUUACCUCAUAACCCUCUAUGGACUUUACUCACUCCCAUGGGUAGGAUAAUCACAGUGUCUUCAGAGGAACUUGAAAAUCAAAUCAUGAAAAAUGAUUUUGGAACCUAUGUCAUUCAAGGAAGACAUUGACACAUUCCCUUGGUCAUGGCGUUCAACAUGACAAAUCAUAUUCUUAUCACAAUUACAUGGCUAAAGCUGAACACUGA
ensembl:lncRNA